UUCUGGAAAUGUGAAUAUAGUUGAAGACGAAGACCGAUGAACAGGUGAAAGAGAGAACACUGCGGCUUGGUUCAAGAACCUUCAAAUUCAGCCUUAGUGUUGAAGAUGAAGACCGUGGGGUCUUCAUUCUUUUGUGAGCAUCAUGUUGGCUGUUUGCUGGAGAUAGUUGAUUUCUACAGUUGCAGGGUAACUUAUUAGGGCAGAGCAAGAGCAGCAUGUGUUUGUUAAAAGA